UGAGGUACUGCGAAGCCAGG
rnacentral:piRNA from 1 species